rnacentral:rRNA from 1 species
UACGUAGGGGCCUAGCGUUGUCCGGAUUUAUUGGGCGUAAAGAGCUCGUAGGCGGUUCGGUAAGUCAGGUGUGAAAUCUCCACGCUCAACGUGGAGGCGCCACCUGAAACUGCCGUGACUCGAGUCCGGUAGGGGAGUGUGGAAUUCCUGGUGUAGCGGUGAAAUGCGUAGAGAUGUGGAGGAACACCAGUGGCGAAGGCGACUCUUUGGCCUGUAACUGACGCUGAGGCGCGAAAGCGUGGGGAGCAAACAGG